UCCGAGUUGACCCCGGCAGUCUCCCAUGAGUCCCCACCCGAAGUGCUGGCAACAUGGAACGAGGGUUGCGCUCGUUGCGGGACUUAACCCAACAUCUCACGACACGAGCUGACGACAACCAUGCACCACCUGUGGACCGGCCCCGAAGGGAAGCCCCAUCUCUGGAGCGAUCCGGCCCAUGUCAAGCCUUGGUAAGGUUCUUCGCGUUGCAUCGAAUUAAUCCGCAUGCUCCGCCGCUUGUGCGGGCCCCCGUCAAUUCCUUUGAGUUUUAGCCUUGCGGCCGUACUCCCCAGGCGGGGCACUUAAUGCGUUAGCUGCGGCGCGGAGGACGUGGAAUGCCCCCCACACCUAGUGCCCAACGUUUACGGCGUGGACUAC
rnacentral:misc_RNA from 1 species